rnacentral:rRNA from 1 species
AUCUAUGGCUGUGCUACCCUGCACAAGCCCAAUCCCGUCUGAUCUCAGAAGCUAAGCAGAGUCGAGCCUGGUUAAUACUUGGAUGGGAAACCACCUAGGAAGAACAGGUGCUGUAGGCA